AUGCCUUUUCUUUGUUCACCUACACAUUAUAUUUUCUGGUAUUAUUGAAUGAAGAAUGAAGGAAAAGGAGGACCACAAAAUUUGUAUUGUGAUUACAGUCUGAUGAGAAGAGAGACAAAAUGGACUUUGUCAGAACAUUUCCCACAGAUGCAUCCUGAGAGACAAAGAUCUACGCUGUUAUUUUCUCAGAUAUAUUUUGAAAUGUUUGCUACAAUCUCAAGAUGUGCAGCCUGCUAAAAAAACAAAUAAUAAGG